GAGCGGCGAACGGGUGAGUAACACGUGAGUAACCUGCCCCUGACUCUGGGAUAAGCCUGGGAAACUGGGUCUAAUACCGGAUAUGACAUCUACCCGCAUGGGUGGGAUGUGGAAAGUUUUUUCGGUUGGGGAUGGGCUCGCGGCCUAUCAGCUUGUUGGUGGGGUAGUGGCCUACCAAGGCGACGACGGGUAGCCGGCCUGAGAGGGCGACCGGCCACACUGGGACUGAGACACGGCCCAGACUCCUACGGGAGGCAGCAGUGGGGAAUAUUGCGCAAUGGGCGGAAGCCUGACGCAGCGACGCCGCGUGGGGGAUGACGGCCUUCGGGUUGUAAACCUCUUUCAGCAGGGACGAAGUUGACGUGUACCUGUAGAAGAAGCGCCGGCUAACUACGUGCCAGCAGCCGCGGUAAUACGUAGGGCGCAAGCGUUGUCCGGANUUAUUGGGCGUAAAGAGCUCGUAGGUGGCUUGUUGCGUCUGCCGUGAAAGCCCGUGGCUUAACUGCGGGUCUGCGGUGGAUACGGGCAGCCUAGAGGCUGGUAGGGGCAAGCGGAAUUCCU
rnacentral:rRNA from 1 species